UACGUAGGGUGCAAGCGUUAUCCGGAUUCACUGGGUUUAAAGGGUGCGUAGGCGGGCUUGUAAGUCAGUGGUGAAAGCCCGGGGCUUAACUCCGGAACUGCCGUUGAUACUGCAAGCCUUGAGUACAGUUGAGGUGGGCGGAAUACAUCAUGUAGAGGUGAAAUUCUUAGAUAUGAUGUAGAACACCGAUUGCGAAGGCAGCUCACUAAAGUGUAACUGACGCUGAGGCACGAAAGCGUGGGGAUCAAACAGG
rnacentral:rRNA from 1 species